rnacentral:rRNA from 1 species
UACGGAGGAUGCAAGCGUUAUCCGGAAUGCUUGGGCGUAAAGCGUCCGCAGGUGGCUAUGUAAGUCUGCUGUUAAAGAGUGAGGCUCAACCUCAUAAGAGCAGUGGAAACUACAUGGCUAGAGUGCGUUCGGGGCAGAGGGAAUUCCUGGUGUAGCGGUGAAAUGCGUAGAUAUCAGGAAGAACACCGGUGGCGAAAGCGCUCUGCUAGGCCGCAACUGACACUGAGGGACGAAAGCUAGGGGAGCGAAUGGG